CAAACGGCUCUUUUCAGAGCCACAUCCCACUUGCACUUUGGAGCGG
rfam:Ixodes scapularis strain Wikel colony gcontig_1108379558901, whole genome shotgun sequence.